AUUGAACGCUGGCGGCAGGCCUAACACAUGCAAGUCGAACGAGCGGCGGACGGGUGAGUAAUGUCUGGGGAACUGCCUGAUGGAGGGGGAUAACUACUGGAAACGGUGGCUAAUACCGCAUACCAUCGGAUGUACCCAGAUGGGAUUAGCGAGUAGGUGGGGUAAAGGCUCACCUAGGCUACGAUCCCUAGCUGGUCUGAGAGGAUGAUCAGCCACACUGGGACUGAGACACGGUCCAGACUCCUACGGGAGGCAGCAGUGGGGAAUAUUGCACAAUGGGAGCAAGCCUGAUGCAGCCAUGCCGCGUGUAUGAAGAAGGCCUUAGGGUUGUAAAGUACUUUCAGCGGGGAGGCGUUACCCGCAGAAGAAGCACCGGCUAACUCCGUGCCAGCAGCCGCGGUAAUUC
rnacentral:rRNA from 1 species